rnacentral:rRNA from 1 species
GACGAACGCUGGCGGCGUGCUUAACACAUGCAAGUCGAACGGAAAGGCCCUGCUUUUGUGGGGUGCUCGAGUGGCGAACGGGUGAGUAACACGUGAGUAACCUGCCCUUGACUUUGGGAUAACUUCAGGAAACUGGGGCUAAUACCGGAUAGGAGCUCCUGCUGCAUGGUGGGGGUUGGAAAGUUUCGGCGGUUGGGGAUGGACUCGCGGCUUAUCAGCUUGUUGGUGGGGUAGUGGCUUACCAAGGCUUUGACGGGUAGCCGGCCUGAGAGGGUGGACGGCGACCAUGGGCCUACGAUACGGCCCAGACGCCUACGGGAGGCAGCAGUGGGGAAUAUUGCACAAUGGGCGGAAGCCUGAUGCAGAAACGCCGCGUGCGGGAUGACGGCCUUCGGGUUGUAAACCGCUUUCGCCUGUGACGAAGCGUGAGUGACGGUAAUGGGUAAAGAAGCACCGGCUAACUACGUG